GACGAACGCUGGCGGCGUGCUUAACACAUGCAAGUCGAACGGAGUGGCGAACGGGUGCGUCACACGUGGGUUACCUGCCCUGCACUUCGGUAUCAGCCUGGGCAACUUGGUCUAAUACCGGAUAGUGUGGGCUGGGCCCGCGGCCUCUCUGCUUGUGGGUGGGGUAAUGGCCUACAAAGGCGGCGACGGGUAGCCGGCCUGCGAGGGUGGACGGCCACAUUGGGGCGGAGACACGGCCCAGACUCCUACGGGAGGCAGCAGAGGGGAAUAUUGCACAAUGGGAGGAAGGCUGAUGCAGCGACGCCGAGGGGGGGAUGACGGACUUCGGGUUGUAAACUCCUUUCACCAUCGACGCGGUAGAUGGAGAAGAAGCACCGGCUAACUACGUGCCAGCAGCCGCAGUAAUUC
rnacentral:rRNA from 1 species